rnacentral:tRNA from 33 species
GGUUUUGUGGUCUAGAGGCAUGAUUCUCGCUUAGGGUGCGAGAGGUCCCGGGUUCAAUUCCCGGCAAAGCCC